rnacentral:rRNA from 1 species
AGCAGCCGCGGUAAUUCCAGCUCCAAUAGCGUAUAUUAAAGUUGUUGCAGUUAAAAAGCUCGUAGUUGAAUUUCGGGAUUAAUUUAUUGGUCGUGCUAUUGUACGUACUGGUAUUAUUGAUUCCUACCUUCUGACGAACCAUGAUGUCAUUAAUUUGGUGUCAUGGGGAAUCAGGACUGUUACUUUGAAAAAAUUAGAGUGUUUAAAGCAGGCUCACGCUUGAAUACAUUAGCAUGGAAUAACGAAAUAGGACGUUUGAUUCUAUUUUGUUGGUUUCUAGGAUCGACGUAAUGAUUAAUAGGGAUAGUUGGG